GUGUAUUCUCUCUCCCGGACAUCCGAGCAUCUCCAGCCAACAGGAUGACCCGCGCAGUCUUGUCCAUCCUGGUGAUGUUUGUGUGUCUUGCACAUACGAUGGAGGCCAGCCUACUGGGUGACCUCAAGAAGAAGAUUGAAGCUACGGAAUUGUACUUAAAUUCCGUAAAGGACCACUACAAUACUGAGAAGGACGCCCUCGCUGAAAGGAUCAAAGAGCAAAAUCGAUUGGACGCUACUUUGGCAGAAUGCAGUGGGCCCGAAUUUGAGAAACAGAAGGAGUCCAACUCUGAACUAAAUGCUAAAUUUCUCCUGAUAACUGAAGACUUUGACAGAAAGUAUGAGUUGAUCCAUAAGAGUAUCGAGAAAUUCAAAGACCAUGUCCAUGAAACCGAGGUGAACAAAGAUGAAUUAUAAU
ensembl:lncRNA